GAUCCUGGCUCAGAUUGAACGCUGGCGGCAGGCCUAACACAUGCAAGUCGAACGGUAACAGGAAACAGCUUGCUGUUUCGCUGACGAGUGGCGGACGGGUGAGUAAUGUCUGGGAAACUGCCUGAUGGAGGGGGAUAACUACUGGAAACGGUAGCUAAUACCGCAUAAUGUCGCAAGACCAAAGAGGGGGACCUUCGGGCCGUCUUGCCAUCGGAUGUGCCCACGAUGGGAGUUAGCUAGUAGGUAGGGG
rnacentral:rRNA from 1 species